AUUGAACGCUGGCGGCAUGCCUAACACAUGCAAGUCGAACGAGUGGCAGACGGGAGUGUCAUGUCUGGGAAACUGCUCGAUGGAGGGGGAUAACUACUGGAAACGGUAGCUAAUACCGCAUACCAUCGGAGGUGCCAAGAUGGGAUUAGCUAGUCGGUGGGGUAACGGCUCACCUAGGCGACGAUCCCUAGCUGGUCUGCGAGGAUGACCAGCCACAUUGGAACUGAGACACGGUACAGACUCCUACGGGAGGCAGCAGUGGGGAAUAUUGCACAAUGGGCGCAAGCCUGAUGCAGCCAUGCCGCGUGUAUGAAGAAGGCCUUCGGGUUGUAAAGUACUUUCAUCGAGGAGGCGUUACUCGCAGAAGAAGCACCGGCUGACUCCGUGCCAGCAGCCGCGGUAAUAC
rnacentral:rRNA from 1 species